rnacentral:rRNA from 1 species
ACGGAAGGCAGCAGUGGGGAAUAUUGGGCAAUGGGCGCAAGUCUGACCCAGCAACGCCGCGUGAAGGAAGAAGGCUUUCGGGUUGUGAACUUCUUUUAAGGGGGAAGAGUAGAAGACUGUACCCCUAGAAUAAGCCACGGCUAACUACGUGCCAGCAGCCGCGGUAAUACGUAGGUGGCAAGCGUUGUCCGGAUUUACUGGGUGUAAAGGGCGUGUAGCCGGGGAGGCAAGUCAGAUGUGAAAUCUAUGGGCUUAACCCAUAAACUGCAUUUGAAACUGUUUCUCUUGAGUGCUGGAGGGGCAAUCGGAAUUCCUUGUGUAGCGGUGAAAUGCGUAGAUAUAAGGAAGAACACCAGUGGCGAAAGCGGAUUGCUGGACAGUAACUGACGGUGAGGCGCGAAAGUGUGGGGAGCAAACAGGAUUAGAUACCCUGGUA